AGCUCCAAUAGCGUAUACUAAUGUUGUUGCAGUUAAAAAGCUCGUAGUCGGAUUUCAGUAGGCUCAGUUAAGUCUCAAUUAUGAGUUCUUUAUGGGCCUGCUUCUUUGACAGAAACUUCUAUGUUAUUCAUUUAGCGUGGGUAGCGACUGUCUCUUUUACUUUGAGAAAAUUAGAGUGUUCAAAGCAGGUAUUCGCCUGAAUAUUACUCUUGGAAUAAUGCUAUAAGACUUUGGUUCUAAUGUAUUGGUGAUUGGGACCAGAGUAAUGAUUGAUAGGGACGGUUGGGGUCUUACGUACUGCAAAGCGAGAGGUGAAAUUCUUGGACCUUUGUAUGACGAACAACUGCGAAAGCAUUGGACUAGGACGUUCCCG
rnacentral:rRNA from 1 species